CCUACGGGCGGCAGCAGUGAGGAAUAUUGGUCAAUGGCCGGAAGGCUGAACCAGCCAAGCCGCGUGAGGGAUGAAGGCGCAACGCGUCGCAGACCUCUUUUGUCAAGGGACAAAAUGCCGCACUCGUCCCGUCCUGUGGGUACCCUGUGAAAAAGGAUCGGCUAACUCCGUGCCAGCAGCCGCGGUAAUACGGAGGAUCCGAGCUUUAUCCGGAUUUAUUGGGUUUAAAGGGUGCGUAGGGGGGCAUUUAAGCCGGCGGUAAAAUUUCGGGGCUCAACCCCGGACUGCCGUCGGAACUGGGUGCCUUGAGUGGGCGAGAGGUAUGCGGAAUGCGUGGUGUAGCGGUGAAAUGCAUAGAUAUCACGAAGAACUCCGAUUGCGAAGGCAGCAUACUGGCGCUCAACUGACGCUGAUGCACGAAAGUGUGGGUAUCGAACAGGAUUAGAUACCCGAGUAGUC
rnacentral:rRNA from 1 species